rnacentral:rRNA from 1 species
CCGUGAGGGAAAGGCGAAAAGAACCCCGGCGAGGGGAGUGAAAAAGAACCUGAAACCGUGUACGUACAAGCAGUGGGAGCCCCACCACUAAGCCAGUGGUGAACUCCACAUACGCAUCCUUUGCUGAAGGCAAUGGUUAACGGAGCGAAAGCGACGUUCAACCGCAAAACAAGCAGAGGGGGCUUAGUGGUGGGGUGACUGCGUACCUUUUGUAUAAUGGGUCAGCGACUUAUAUUCUGUAGCAAGGUUAACCGUAUAGGGGAGCCGGAGGGAAACCGAGUCUUAAUUGGGCGUUAAGUUGCAGGGUAUAGACCCGAAACCCGGUGAUCUAGCCAUGGGCAGGUUGAAGGUUGGGUAACACUAACUGGAGGACCGAACCGAC